AUGGCCGCUUGGGUCCGUGGUGCACUCGCUGGACGGGCUGGGGCGUUGCGUGCUGGCGUGCCUCUGGCACCUGUAGAGACGCCGGGCGAGCAAAGCUUCAGGUGCCAUCUCAGGAGUAGCGGCCUGGUUCCCAAGCGCUCACGGACCGGUGUGGCCGCCGAGUGAGUGGGGAGGCGGAGAUGGACGGUGGGCGUCUGCUGCGUGCGCACUUCCGAAGUCCCGCUAGAAGCGCGUGUUGAGCCGUGAUCCCCCUUCGAUUGGAGUUGUCUCCUGGAGAUGACGUCAUGAGAUGUGGCACAUGGGAACUUAGUGCCAGUGCCGUGUGUGGUACAGGCCAAGUCUCUGGGGUGGAAAGGGAUGCUGUGGCAGCCACCAGGUUACUACUACCCUGUGUGCCCUGCUGUGUAGACUUUAAUCUCCCAGAGAGAGUGUCAUCAAAGGACCUUGGAGUUUGGUCUGCAGAAGUAGCCAGGAGUCAAAUGACUGCAGUCAGCCUGGGAAGCCUCUGGCAGCCAGCAGUGGAGGCACUGGGGAGGCAGGGGCUGCUCCCAGAAAAGCAUUUCUCACAGUGCCUUUCCUGGGAAGUUGAUGUUGGGCUUUGUGUUUUGAAGCACAAAUAAACCUUAAUAAAAUU